rnacentral:ncRNA from 2 species
GGUCUUGAGCUCCAGCGCACAGCCCCGGCUUGCUGGACAGCAACCCUCCACCGCGGUGGGGUGCUCCGGGUGACGACCUGGCCCGACCAUCCGGUCGGCGCAAGCGCGGACU